rnacentral:rRNA from 1 species
UGUUCGGCGUGCUUAACACAUGCAAGUCGAACGGAAAGGCCCUGCUUUUGUGGGGUGCUCGAGUGGCGAACGGGUGAGUAACACGUGAGUAACCUGCCCUUGACUUUGGGAUAACUUCAGGAAACUGGGGCUAAUACCGGAUAGGAGCUCCUGCUGCAUGGUGGGGGUUGGAAAGUUUCGGCGGUUGGGGAUGGACUCGCGGCUUAUCAGCUUGUUGGUGGGGUAGUGGCUUACCAAGGCUUUGACGGGUAGCCGGCCUGAGAGGGUGACCGGCCACAUUGGGACUGAGAUACGGCCCAGACUCCUACGGGAGGCAGCAGUGGGGAAUAUUGCACAAUGGGCGGAAGCCUGAUGCAGCAACGCCGCGUGCGGGAUGACGGCCUUCGGGUUGUAAACCGCUUUCGCCUGUGACGAAGCGUGAGUGACGGUAAUGGGUAAAGAAGCACCGGCUAACUACGUGCCAGCAGCCGCGGUGAUACGUAGGGUGCGAGCGUUGUCCGGAUUUAUUGGGCGUAAAGGGCUCGUAGGUGGUUGAUCGCGUCGGAAGUGUAAUCUUGGGGCUUAACCCUGAGCGUGCUUUCGAUACGGGUUGACUUGAGGAAGGUAGGGGAGAAUGGAAUUCCUGGUGGAGCGGUGGAAUGCGCAGAUAUCAGGAGGAACACCAGUGGCGAAGGCGGUUCUCUGGGCCUUUCCUGACGCUGAGGAGCGAAAGCGUGGGGAGCGAACAGGCUUAGAUACCCUGGUAGUCCACGCUGUAAACGGUGGGUACUAGGUGUGGGGUCCAUUCCACGGGUUCCGUGCCGUAGCUAACGCUUUAAGUACCCCGCCUGGGGAGUACGGCCGCAAGGCUAAAACUCAAAGGAAUUGACGGGGCUCCGCACAAGCGGCGGAGCAUGCGGAUUAAUUCGAUGCAACGCGUAGAACCUUACCUGGGUUUGACAUGGAUCGGGAGUGCUCAGAGAUGGGUGUGCCUCUUUUGGGGUCGGUUCACAGGUGGUGCAUGGCUGUCGUCAGCUCGUGUCGUGAGAUGUUGGGUUAAGUCCCGCAACGAGCGCAACCCUUGUUCACUGUUGCCAGCACGUUAUGGUGGGGACUCAGUGGAGACCGCCGGGGUCAACUCGGAGGAAGGUGGGGAUGACGUCAAGUCAUCAUGCCCCUUAUGUCCAGGGCUUCACGCAUGCUACAAUGGCUGGUACAGAGAGUGGCGAGCCUGUGAGGGUGAGCGAAUCUCGGAAAGCCGGUCUCAGUUCGGAUUGGGGUCUGCAACUCGACCUCAUGAAGUCGGAGUCGCUAGUAAUCGCAGAUCAGCAACGCUGCGGUGAAUACGUUCCCGGGGCUUGUACACACCGCCCGUCAAGUCAUGAAAGUUGGUAACACCCGAAGCCGGUGGCCUAACCGUUGUGGGGGAGCCGUCGAAGGUGGGACUGGUGAUUAGGACUA